GUAACGGGCGAGUGAAGCGGUCACAGCUUAAUCAAAAAUCCUGCGCCUCUCUUGGCGUUGGGAAUUGUAGUCUUGGCUUCUGAAUGACGCUGGCUGACGGGUAAUUCGAUGGAAAUCGAGGUCAUAGAGGGUGACAACCCCGUUUCUCUGUCGGCGCGGCGUCGUUUUUCAGUUGUCUAUCGAGUAGCGUUCAUUGGGAAUUGAGCGUGAAGCGGGUGGUGAUAUCCAUCCAAAGCUAAAUAUUGGCGAGAGACCGAUAGCGAACAAGUACCGUGAGGGAAAGAUGAAAAGCACUUUGGAGAGAGAGUUAAACAGUAUGCGAAAUCGUUGGAAGCAAGCGAAUCAGUGGGCUAUGGGCACGGUUCUGCGUUCUGGGAAGUCUGUCGUCCGUGAGAGCCUAUCAGCUCUCCGGUCGGCUUGUUCUACCCGGUCGUGGGAUGAGGUUUUGGUGUCCGGCUUCGGCCAGCCUUCUGAUCCGACCCGUCUUGAAACACGGACCAAGGAGUCUAAUAUGUGUGCGAGUGUUCGGGUGUCAAACCCAAACGCGUAGGUAACCCAAAUCGCGUUAAUCUCUUCUUGAGAUGCAUCGCGGGUAGUGUGUCUUCCCUAACAAGAGCAGGUAUGUUGGA
rnacentral:rRNA from 1 species